UGAAAUCUGGUUCCCCAUUGUUUUCUAACCAUCUGAAAGCUGGGUUUCACCAUUCUUCUACUUGUUUAAAUUUUCAUAUAUUCAAGCAAUAUGUAUAAUAUGAUGUCGUUCGGUUCUAACUUUUUUCAUUCUGUAUCUUUUCAACAAUCAUUAUUUCUACUUACUUAAACAAAACUUCCAAUUGAACGUGGUUGCUUGCGUUUCAAGCUACUACCGAGGACUCUGGUCAGACUCAGGAAACCAUCUUU